rnacentral:rRNA from 1 species
CACGUAGGGGACGAGCGUUGUCCGGAUUCAUUGGGCGUAAAGCGCGCGUAGGCGGCUCGGAAAGUCGGGCGUGAAAGCCCGGGGCUCAACUCCGGAUCCGGACCCCAAACUGCUAGACUCGAGAGUAUCAGAGGAGAGCGGAAUUCUCGGUGUAGCGGUGAAAUGCGUAGAUAUCGAGAGGAACACCUGCGGCGAAGGCGGCUCACUGGCCCGGUACUGACGCUGAGGUGCGAAAGCGUGGGGAGCAAACAGG